AGAGAUGUGGCUGAGGGGUUAAAGGCGACAGAUUGUAAAUUUGUUAGUAACAAACUUUCAUAGGUUCGAAUCCUAUUAUCUCUACAA
rnacentral:tRNA from 1 species